CCUGCCCGUACCCGCUUGUCAAGUCCCAAUCGCGCACAUCCUCUGUUUUCUUCCUUCUCUGUCUCGCUCCACUUAUCCGUCCGCGCCGUCCUGCCCUCCCCGCUCCAUCGAAAUUGUCCUAUCCCCGGUCUGAGGAGACGCGGCGGCGGCGAUUGAUGGAGGUACGCGCCUGCAAGCCCGGCAAGAUCAUCCUCGCUGGCGAGCACGCCGUCGUACGGCUCCGCCGCCGUCGCCGCUGCAGUCGAUCUCUACACCACCUCUUCCCUCUGCCUCCUCACCGCAGGAGAGGAUGGCGGCGCAGGCGCGGUGCCGCGAUGGAGCUGGACCUCAGGGACUCGGGCCUCACCUUCUCUUGACCCUGCUCGCGCGUCCGUGCGACGCUGGGGGAGGUGGGCGGCAAGGCCGGGGCGCCGACGCCGUGCUCAGCCUCUACGUCCACCUCCGCAUCAGCCCCUAUGUCCACACGUAGUGGAACUUCCGGCUAUGGUGGGUCACUUGCAAGCGUGGGAGUACAAACUACACAAUGGUGCCGAUGCAUUGCAGUCCUGCUGCUAUGCCAUGCUGCUGAGGUGUUCGAUGGAUUGCCUACACUAUGAAAUCGGUAAUGGGGGAUACGAAGCAAGGACUAAAUCUUGCAUCAUUAUCUUUAACUAGAAGAGAGUGCCGCACGUAUUUUUAGAAAACUUAUAAAUAAGAAUUUUAAAACAACGUAUUCAAGCAAAAUGCUUAUUAGAAGGGGGCAAAACAGAGCAAUACAGGUAAUAAAUAGUAUUGGUUCAAUUUACAGGUUGUAAAUAAAUUGAUAUGCAGAACUACCAAGCACAUGCUCUGGCACUGCAUCUAAUAAAAGAUGGUCCUACGUAUUAUCUAAUAAGAUGCUCUGCCAUUGAUUUUUAGCUCAGUCACCUUCCUCCCUUUCUUCUUCCCCACCAAAAUAAAACUUGACUCUACAACCGGGCGACAGGCAACGAGGUGAGCCGCCCACGGAGUGCAAGAGGGUCGCCGUUCAAGUAGAGAAGGUAGGCACGCAUGACAGCCCGACAGGUGUUUUCGGUCCGGCGGGUAAGAGGAAGAUGCGGCGAGAAAAAAAUAAGUUUUUGAUAGAAACGUUCUUGAAGAUGCGAUUUUUAUGGGUCUAUCCUUUCUCCCACUUCCCUCGAUCCUGAUUGGUGGGUCCAAUAUAAGGGGUAUGGUGGGCCCGAUGCGGGUGAGAAAUAUUUUCAAUUAUUUUCAAUCUUCAUAGUAUAGAUAUAGACAAUGACAAGUGGUAAAGUUAAAUGUUUUACUCCUACAAUGUUGAUAAAUGAUAAUGACAAUAAACCCUCUAACUUCUCCCACAGGGCGACCAUAUUGCCAAAUUAAAGAUCAGUGGCAGUUGCACGCUGAAGAAUUGAUGAUUAUAAGAGAAAACCAUGGACUAAGGCUAUGACUACGAAGAGGGCUAAGUUUCUGUUUUUGUGCUUGGACAAGGUCGUGUUGCCUCAGUCCCCUUGUGUGCGUGUGAGUGGUGUUGUGCUUGUAUAUGGGUGUGUGGUUUUUCUUCUUUCCUUUGUAAGGGGUUCUUUACCCCCUUUUUCCUCUUCUUAAUAUAAAAUACCCAGCUCUCCUGCAUGUUGGCUUGAUAUUUAGGAAGUAAAUGAAAAUAGGAAAAAAAUUUAAAUUUGUAA